CCAUCAGACAAUUGAAAAGCCAAGGCAAGGGGAGACAGACUUACGGAGGGAGAGUGUGGAAGUUAUCAAAGUAAUUAGGAGUACAGGAGACAGCUGAGAACAGUGACUGCCCUGAACUUAGUCCCAUGACCCACACAUUCUCCUCACAGCCAGGAAGGCCUUGAGACCUUGAACUCCA
rnacentral:lncRNA from 1 species